UCCCCCGUAAAUUUAUAAAUUUUAUUAAUAUAUUUUAACGUACAGUUAUUUAUUUUAAAUGAAAUUUAUGAAUUUUAUUAAUAUAUUUAUUAUUUAAUGUAUAUUUAUAUUAUUUAAAUACAUUCUAAAUAUUUUAACGAUUUAUGCAACCAAACAUUUUUAGAAUUAUAUUUCGAAGACAAUUUGAAAUAUAUAAAAACUUUUGAUUUUGGAAAAGUAUUUCUAAUCGGGUUGUACUCAAAGCUUUUUAAAAUUAGAAAAGAAAUUCUAAUCCUAACCCAAUUAGAUUCCUAGGCCCAUAAACUCCAAAAGAAAAGAAAAAUAACCCACAACUAAUUUCUCUCUUCUCUCUCACUAUUCUCACGUACGUGAUUUCUUUUCUCUGUUCAUCCUUCACGCCUCUUUUUCUUCUUCUCUUCCCUGCCCAGCCAACCUCCACGAGCACCACCACUCGGCACCGUGCCGCCCUACCGCCGGCGUCCUUGCCGCGUCGCCCACUUGCUGUUGCACCACUGCAUAGACCGUUGGUUGCCUCUUCCCUUUCUGUUUUCCUCGUUACUUCUCGCCCUAGCCACCACCAUCAGCCUUCGCACCACCGCCCUGCGCCACCAGUAGCUUCCACCUGACCAACGUACCCGUCGCCGCUGCCCUGCUCAGCCGUCGGCCUCUCUUACUCUCUCCCUUCGCUUUCGCAAACACCAGAACUCUCUCCUCCCUUUUCGUGCUUCUCUCAUAACCACCACCAUCACCAAGUGUCGCCCAACCUCCGCGACCACCUGCACCGCCUUCGCGCCGCCAGCCUCCGCGACUACCUGUACUUGCUGCCGCGCAGUCCACCGUCGGCCGACCUCCCUCUCUUCUCUUUUUGGUUAUUUCUUUAACCCUAAAACUAUUUAAUUCUUUAAUUUGGUUUUAGUAAUUUAAUUAAUGUUUUCAUGCUUUAAAUCUAUGGUUUUAAUUAUGUAAAUAUAGAAAUCAGAUUUCAUAUUUUGCAUAAUGAAUUAUUUAAUUUUCAGAUUUAUUAAUUUUGUUAAAUAAGGGUUUUAAAUUAUUAAAGCUUGAAAUUUUAAGGUUUUAUUAGUUAGAAAAUCAUAGUAUGAUGUUUGUGGAUUAUUAAAAUUAUUGUUUCAACGUUCUAGCAUGUUAAAUUGGCCUUGGCGAAGUUUUAAACGAGUUUAUAUUGCUGAAAUUUAAAGUAUGUCUUUUGCGAAAAGUUUUCAACGAAUUUCAAUCACUAAUUCAAUAAUUAUGAUGCUAGUAAAUCAAAUGUUCGAGUUUUAAUGUUGGGGAAGGUUCUAAAUUUGUUUAGGACGCAUUUAGAACGCUUUAUUAUGAUCGCCAAUGAUUAGAAAUUGAUUGGGAUUAUUUGUUGGUUGUUUUAGGCGGAGAAUUCCCUUUAGGCGACUUUUGAAAGUGUUAAAGUGAUCUAUCAGUUUGUUUACAUAAGUCUCUAAGGAUCAAUAAGCGUUGCCCAUCUACAGGUUUGAAGAUGAUGCAUCAUUGGGAUCGGGAUUAGAGAGCUUGUAGUUAUAUUUUCUUUAUUAAGUGAUUUGGUUUGUUAACUUAAAUUUGAAAUUUGUCGUACUAUUCGUAUUUCCUUAUUUCAGUUAAUUGGUUUUGGACCUAAUAUGUAAUAAGAUUAUUUAUGAACCUAAAAGUUAGUUUUAUGUUUUC